rnacentral:rRNA from 1 species
UACGAAGGGGGCUAGCGUUGCUCGGAAUCACUGGGCGUAAAGCGCACGUAGGCGGACUCUUAAGUCGGUGGUGAAAUCCUGGAGCUCAACUCCAGAACUGCCUCGAUACUGGGAGUCUCGAGUCCGGGAGAGGUGAGUGGAACUGCGAGUGUAGAGGUGAAAUUCGUAGAUAUUCGCAAGAACACCAGUGGCGAAGGCGGCUCACUGGCCCGGUGCGUGACGCUGAGG